rnacentral:lncRNA from 1 species
GAUAUGAUACAAUUUAAUUUUGAAGAAGAAAAAUGAUUUAUAUACACAUUUCUUAGUAAAAUUUUCUAUUUCUUGCUAAUAACAUUUUAAUUCAGAAAAUGCAUUGCUAUAAAUAUAUAAUAGGACCUUUGCAACUUAAUUAUGAGUAAUUAACUCACACUUCAUAUAGUAUGGAGCACCUUAGAUUACAUAUUGUUGAACUAUUGGCAUUAAUAUCUGUAUUUUCAUGUUAUUUACAAUACAUAA